rnacentral:lncRNA from 1 species
UCACAAACCCACACCAGGCUGAAGUCCAGGGGACAGGAACUUUAAAAGAAAACAGAAACUCAGUGGAUAAAGGUGAGCCAGCAACACAAAAAGGAGCAACUUCUGUCCCCCAAAUAGAAUGGGAAUAAUCCACAUGAGAGUUGCUCCUUCUGCCUGGGCCUGGGAAUGAGAAGACCUGUGGAGCUGAGCUACUGCUUACCCACAACCUGCAUAUACAUAAAUCAGAAGCCAGCACUGGUUGUUGUGAGUCGCUUAGAUUUUGGGCUUGAUGAAGAUGACCUUAGGCACAGUGACCCUGAAGGCCACAUGUUAAAGACAGUGGAGCCACAGGAUGGAAGGAAGCUGGUUCCCUGAAUCAUCACGUGGCAGAGAGCGGACCACUAAUCAGGAUCAUGUGUUUCAGAUUUCACUUGACCAAUAAAUCAAUUUCAAUUUUGUUACACUG